rnacentral:rRNA from 1 species
ACGAACGCUGGCGGCGUGCCUAAUACAUGCAAGUAGCACGCUGAAGAGAGGAGCUUGCUCUUCUUGGAUGAGUUGCGAACGGGUGAGUAACGCGUAGGUAACCAGCCUUGUAGCGGGGGAUAACUAUUGGAAACGAUAGCUAAUACCGCAUAACAAUGGAUGACACAUGUCAUUUAUUUGAAAGGGGCAAUUGCUCCACUACAAGAUGGACCUGCGUUGUAUUAGCUAGUAGGUGAGGUAAUGGCUCACCUAGGCGACGAUACAUAGCCGACCUGAGAGGGUGAUCGGCCACACUGGGACUGAGACACGGCCCAGACUCCUACGGGAGGCAGCAGUAGGGAAUCUUCGGCAAUGGGGGCAACCCUGACCGAGCAACGCCGCGUGAGUGAAGAAGGGUUUCGGAUCGUAAAGCUCUGUUGUAAGUCAAGAACGGGUGUGAGAGUGGAAAGUUCACACUGUGACGGUAGCUUACCAGAAAGGGACGGCUAACUACGUG